AGUUCACAGGCGUUGCAGUCCAGUCACAUGCAGAACCAAUACACUUUGUGGACAUGACAAAGGGAUCUGCAGUCUGGGUGAGAAUGGAAGGAUGAGAGAAAAGGAAGGAAAAAAAAAAGUUUACAGGUUCUUUCUCCUGUUGAGAACAUGAAAAAUUGGAAAGAAGAAUACAAGUAUAUUCAGAUGAAAUCAAGUAAAGAGCCUUCACAGAGAGUUUCUUAAAAGGCUGUCUAUAUUCAAAUUGCCUGGGAGAAAACAAACAGUUGAUCUAAUCCUCUACAAUGUGCACUUUAAGUAAAAAGACAGUUAUAGACGACCACUUUACAGAAAGCACAAAAUGGGCAAGAGUUUUAAUUUCUAGUGUUGAUAAACUUUGCUAUGUUAAGAUUAUUGAAGAGUAUCAACAAACAGUAGUAAAAUUCCACUUCCAACAUGGGAUUUAGAAGGAAAUGAAUUCAUGAGAAUCAGAUUUCCAUUUGUGGUAUAAGAAUUAUGGGGAGAGGACCUAAUAAGACUGCUACUCUAGCUUCCAAAGUUAGGAAAAAGAAUCUCUUGUGAGCUAAAACUUGUUUUUAAGUGGAAUCUAAUGCCAGAGGCUAUGUCUAAUUCUAUGUUCAUCACUCACAAGAACCUACGAACCCAUACUGAGUCCAUGGUAACAUCUUGACAAGUGUAGCCAGCAGGCACCACAACACAGGCAACACACAACAAUGGAGCUCUGAAAAUCUUGCUUAUCCAGGAAGAUUCAAGAUAAAGAUGAGGCCCCACCCAGUAUCCUGAGUUUUUCAUCUAGCCAUGGAAACCCAAUCCAGCAACAGUGGAGAAAACCAAUUUCCAGGUCACAACAGAGAAACUGAUCUCCAAAACUUGCAUGCACACUGCAGAUCCCAAACAUUUUAGCCUAGGAGAAGGUCUUCUAAACUAUUCUUUUGAUCUCUCUUCCUCUCCCUCUCCCUCCUCUUCCCUCUGUAAUUGUCUAUGCUUUUUCUUUUGGAGUUGUCCUUCGGGUGAUAACUGACGUAUCUAUGGGUUCAAACCAAUGAGGAAGGCACAGGUUUUGUUUUUUUUGUUUUUUUUGUUUUUUUUUUCUUUCCCUCAUCUCUCCUCUAAGAAAGUCCCUAACCCCUUCCUGACCCUUUUCUCUCAUCAGGCUUUCAUCUGUCAGGAAACUCAAAUCCCUUACCUUUGUGUUGAUAUUAGUUAUCAGGCAGAGGAAGAGAACUGGAGGGUGGGGGAGUUAUUGCCUCCUGUCAUGAGCAAGAGAAGGGACUCCAUCUUUAAAGGACCUUUUAAAAAACCUGACAGAUAAUACCUUACUUCUCAUUGUGAAGUCUUCCUUAGAAGGAUCUCCAGUUAAAGAAGUUCUGUCAGCUUGAAGUGAGAAUGUCAAUGAAUUCUUUAUAGAGAAUAAAGAAUCACUAAAGUACGGAGGGAAGCCGUUGAAUCAAGUUCUUUUCUCAAAGGCAGAAAAACAUGCCCACCUUCAGCAGAGGUGCCUUGGUCAUCUAAAGAGUCUAUGAAACAAGGAACUUCACAGCAGUAGUGGAGACUCAGACUGUGGCGACAGUACAUUUGGCAUUUACACAAAAGUGUAAGAGCGAAGGAUGCACACUGUUAAAAUGCUCCUUCAUUCUCAAAGUCAGAAAUGUAUUUUUUUGCUAUAUGUUUGAUUUUUUAUAGAAAAUUGAAACUCAUUGCACAUAAAGGGAAAAAUGCAUUGUAUCACAAUGGGAAAACUCCUGGGAAGACAUGGCUGAGGUCAACAGUUUCCUAGUAUCACACACGCUCGUUCCAUUUAACCAUGCAUGACAAUACUUUUCAGAUCCACACUGAUUCCUAGGGGCCACAGUUUGGAUUUUAAUGUUCUGCAAAGGCUCAAAUAUAGGAUGCAUAUUUCCAGGCAUGUGUUACUGGAAGAUGUGUUAUGAUCGAAACAUGUCAAAUUAAUAAGUCUAGAAGCUUAAUUAAGUUACUUAGCAGUUCUACAUCCUAGAGUAUAGAGGACAUGCCCUUAGCACUCUAGGAUGUUGUUCGUUGUGUCAAUUUGAGAACUUUAAAAAUUUAACUAACUGAUGCAGCAAGGUCCAGGUCUGUCCUUUGCAAACAUUCUUAGCCUGCAAAAGAGGAGGGCACAGAGGUAGUGUGGGUGCUACCCCCAUCUGAGGGCAGGAAGCCUGCAUACAGUACAAGGGAGGAAAACAAGCUUGCUUACUCCUUUUGCUCUCGGUGCUUUUGUUGUCUUCUGCCUCCUUGAAUGGUUGCCCCUCAGCCAUGACACCCUGCUUUGGAGCCAACUGAUUAUGGACUGAAACCUCCACAAACUGUGAGAAAGUUGCAGAGCACCAUGUUCCAAAAUGGCAGCAGCUGUACCAUAUUUUAGACAGCACAGAAAAAUUGUUCCUCAGAAUUAGAUUCAGAGUGCCCAAUAAUCCAGACACUCGAUUCCUACAGUCAAGAGAGUGAAAAGCCUGGUUACUGCUCCGGCUGGCAGCAGACCUUGGUAUUAUCCAUGGUGGUGCUGGUUUGGGUGUACACAGAAUGUAAGAAUUGUGGGUUAAGGUUUCCACCACAAUUUUAUAAGGCAUAAAAGACCAGGAAGUCUGCUCCUGAGAGAGCAAUGUGUGAAGCUAUGAGAGUGAAGCCAGAGGUGCAGUGGAGACCCCAGAAGUUUGGAAAAUCCAGAAACAUGGAACAUCUAUGGAAAUCUGCAAGGAGGGAGAAAAAAAGCAAAGAGAGAAGCUUUGGGAGUUACAACCACCAGAAGUGUCAUAGGGGACAAGGCCAUCUCAGCUCUUUCGGUCUCACAAUUUGCUACAGAUUACCUCAGAUGCUGCACAGAGAACUGUCAGACUUAACGCUUGCCCAGAUGUAUUUUGGACUUUCUUUGUUCCCAAUCCAAUUGUAUUUGUGACUUUUGGAAUGAAAAUAUUUAUCUUGUGCCAUUGAAUGCUGGAUGUGCUUAACUUUUCAUUUCUAUAGGAGUUUACAGCUAAGAAUUUGCCUUACAUCUUGGAAGAGACUUAGGACUUGGACUUUUCACCAAUGCUGAAAAUGUUAGGACUCUGGAAACUCUUAAAAAAAGGACUAAAUGCCUUUUGCAUAAAAGGAUGUGCGUUAGGCUCUGAAGGGGCAAGAGUGAAAUGUUAUGGUUCUAAUGUAAUACAAUACUGGACUUAGUGCUUAUUCUUUGGAAGUGCUAUAGUUUUCAUCUUCAGUCUGGACUUCGUCUCCUACUUUCUAGUGCAGAUUGUUCAGCUUCUGCUUGGCCUCUUCAGCCUUCAUUGUAGACUGUUGAGCCUACUGGUAUAGAUUCUUUAGUCUUCCAUCACACACCCACUGACCUCCUGAUAUGGACUUGCAUGGAACACUGCAGUGAGCUCCAGAUCUUGGACUGGAUCCUUCAGCCUCCAGGGUACAGAUAUUUUCUGCACGCAUCCUCAUUCGACUCCGUGGCUGACUAUCAUAAGCCAAGCAUGUAAUUUCUUAUACCUUUGCAUAUUUUGUGUUAUGUCUCUUUGUCUAGUAAACUCUAACAGAUACAUGGUGCAAAUAUGCAGGCAGGGAUGGUAAUGGCAGGAAUAUGAGUAACUGGAAGUUACUUUCGAAAGGGACUGUUGGGAUUCAGCUUCUUUACAAUUCUCUCUCUUUGGGUUCCCAGCUGUAUGUGAGUAGCUGUGCUCUUCCACAUGAACCUUCAGUGAUGCGCUGCCUCACUCAAAGAAAAAGGGCCACCAAUCACAGAGCACAGCUCUAAUACUGAAAGCUAUAAUAAAACUUUUCUUUAUAAGGUUAUUUUCUCAUGUAUUUGUGGUUAUAACACAAGGCUCACAACACACAAAAUUUGUACACAAAUAGACAUAUUACAUGAGGAUUCUAAUUUACCGUGAGGUAAUUGUAGAUCAAGACUCUUGUCAUUAAAGUCUGACUUUUUAAACUCUCAAAUUUACAUUUUUUCUCUUAUUAGUCACUGUAAAUAUUCUCAAAAGGCAGGUAAUUUAAAAGCUGGUUAUAUUUUGUGAGACAAUAUUCUUAAUAAAUUAUUAAUAAUUUUCUUAUGAUGAAUAACUGUUUUGGCUCAAUGAAGUUAUACCAUUGCUGUUAGAGAGAUUUUCUCCCAACUAUGAUAACCCCAGUUUACACUGUUUCUCCCAACUAUGAUAACCCCAGUUUACACUGUUACAAUGUACAUCUCUUUCUAUCCGCACAGGUCUCCUAGAUCUCUUGUCUAGAAAUGUCUCUACGUUUAUGCAGAUAUAUAUAUAUAUAUAUAUAUAUAUAUAUAUAUAUAUGCAGAUAUAUACAUGUAUAUAUAUGGUUAGCCUAACUUCCUAUUUUCUUUCUUGAUCCAAUUUUUCAUAAGUAAUUCAUUCAACAAUAACAAUAUGUACUAUUCUGUGAGAAUCCAAAAAUAAGUCAUGUAGGGAUACUUCUCUUAAUGAAACAGUCCUGUUUCCAUUCCCUCCACAUUCCACCCUCAAUUUGAUGAGGAACAGUUUCAAACAUUGUCACAAAUGUUUUUCAGUUUUCUGUUGCUUUUCCUAAUGACACAAGUUGCUGUGUUGCCUCUAACAUUUUUCAUAACUAAUAGUUAGAUAUGUUUACUGAAUACAUUAUCUUUGACUUUCACUCAUAAACUUUUCUAUCCAUUCUCAUACUAGAUAUAUAAAGUAAAUCAACUGGUUCUAUUUUUAUAGGAGUAACAAUCAUUUAAACAAGUUGUUUUUGCAAGAGGACAAGUAAGAAAGCAAAUUUAGGGUACCUAUUUUGACUGUGUGACUCUGAUGUUCAGGGAUUGCUUACUACAUGUUUCUUUAUGACUUUAUUAUACUGUCAGUAAUGCAGUCCUCCUUCUCCAUUCAUUGCCUCUGCUAUAUGAAGUUGUAUUCUGUUUUAUGGAUUUAACGUGGAACAUGUGUUCAAUAAUUAUUUAUUUUUAGCCAAUAAAAUAUAGCUUGAAUCUUUGAAGUAAUGUUUUCCAUUAAAUAUUUAUUAACUCAUUUUUGGAAAAAAAAAUAUAUAUACAUAUACUUAUAUUAUCUCUUUACUUUCAUUUUUGAUUGCAGUUAUCAGUAAUGAAGAAAAUAUUCACAGUAUGACUGAGGACAUACAGAAAUUCUGUAAUUUAAUGAAUUGAUGAAACUGAAAAUAUAUUUAGCAUCAAUAUUUCACAGUACAUUCAGCAGUGUCUAGUAAUUUCCUAAAUAUAAUAAAGUUUAAAUAAUCAACAUGUAUUACCACAAGUUCACACUUCUUCCUGGUAAAUAUUGUAUUCUCCUACUAUACAGGGAGAAUAGACUAAAUAAAUUCUUUAUUAUGAAGUUGACAACUAUUGCUGGCUCAUCUAAACAAAAUCAACAAGUUCUUUAUUCCAGAAUAUAAUGACUCAUCUUAAAAAGGUACAUCAAUUAGCAUCUGUCGAAAUUGUAGGUGUACAAAUUAAUAGGUAAUGCAAUAUAACAUCAAAUUAUCAUUUAUUUUGAUUAAUUUGCUUGCAAAUUAAUUUCAUAUCAUCAAGACAAUCAACUACUACUGUACAGCUUUUCUUCAACUGAAAGAAUAGAGUUUGAAUUGAAGUUUUAAAAUGUGUUUUUUGUUCUAAAUAUUUGGUUUUCUGAAUGAGUAAAAAACAAAAUUUGACUUUUAAUGGUUAGCAGUUUUAAGUUAGGUUACCAUUUGACUAGGUAUAUACUUAUUAAUUAUGUGUGAGUGAAAUAAGUAGAUUAAGGUAAUUGUUUAAUUAAGAUAUUUCUGUCUUUCACUUUACUGAUUUAAAAUAAAAUUCAUGUUUGGGAAUAACUUACUCAUUUCAUGUAUCAGUGAAAUUCAUAAGUAUAAAAGUGUGAAACCUCGAUUAAAAAUGUCAGCAUUUCACAUUU